rnacentral:rRNA from 1 species
CAAUAGCGUAUAUUAAAGUUGUUGCAGUUAGAACGCUCGUAGUCGGAUUUCGGGGCGUUCCGACCGGUCUGCCGAUGGGUAUGCACUGGCCGGAGUGUCCUUUUUGCCGGAGACUGUGCCUACUCUUAACUGAGCGGGGGCGGGAGACGGCACUUUUACUUUGAAAAAAUCAGAGUGUUUCAAGCAGGCAGCUCGCUCUUGCAUGGAUUAGCAUGGGAUAAUGAAAUAGGACUUUGGUGCUAUUUUGUUGGUUUCGAACACCGAAGUAAUGAUGAGAAGGGACAGUCAGGGGCACUCGUAUUCCGCAGAGAGAGGUGAAAUUCUCAGACCCGCGGAAGACGAACCACUGCGAAAGCAUUUGCCAGGGAUGUUUUCACUG